rnacentral:lncRNA from 1 species
CUGGAGUUCCCCAAAGGCUUUGGAGAUCUAUUGGCAUGUACCAAUUAUUUUUAUUUGACUCCUAAGCCAAAAAGUCCAUUCCCAGCUCUGAGUCAGGAGGAUUUUAAGCACAGUGUUGACUUACGAGCUACUUCACCCCAUGAGCUGCUUUCAUUUGACAGAACAAUUGAUUAAAAAACCUACUUAGGCAUUUCCUUCUCUCCUUCUUUUUGGUAUUGAAAUCUCCCAGCACCAGCAAUUCCCUGGCAAACUAUAAGCACAUAUUUCUUCUCUGUUCAUUCCUGUGCAACUCAGUAGACUUCAGACAAACAGCAGCAAAACACAUCAGGGAUAAAAAAAAGGACAGAAUUUUAAAUGAAAAAAGAAAAUCAAUAGCCCAUUUUCACAGGAGUUGAAGGACUUGUCCUGUGGACCGUGUUAUCUGUGGAAAGGAUCCCAGCACAGUAAAUAGAAAGUCCUGCAGCAGAGAGGUAACUCUCUCUUUUAAACCAGUUCCUAUAGUGCUGUGCUUAGCUCAAAUCUUUGUGUUUACAGCCAAAUGUACGUAUGUAUGUGUGUGUUUAUUCUGGAAAUGUCGUAUUUCCUUUGUUUGUUUGUUUGGUUGGUUGGUUCAUUUGUUUUGCAGAGACAGUGGGACUGGGACUGCUGAAUCUUUCUGAACACUACCCACCACCUUCUGGAAGGAUCAAUCCUGCUUAGGAGCAUUACGAGCUGCUUUAUAUUGUGGGGAGUCAUUCUGGCCCUUCUGGGAGAGCAAAGCUCUGAGAUUCUUUAGGAGCAUUGACUCUCAUUUAAGGCUUUCUAAGCCUUUCAGUCCUCCUGAGCAAGCAAGGCACCUCUUCUCUACAUACCCUGCCACAGCAGCUUGGAGCCCACGGAGUAAAUAGAUCUUAUUAGAGGAGGAGACAGUUCUUGGGAAUGAUAAAACAAAGAGCAAAGCAAGAAUUGCCGGGCCGUCUGGGUGCCUCAAUGGCUGAGGAAAAGCUGAUGCCCAGAUAUAACUGCAACGUCAGUGAAGUUACCAUUGUGAACCUGCAGCCCAAGAAGAAUCCCAUCCUCAUCCUGCCAAAAGAGAAGCCAGGAAGUGAACAUAGAAACUCUGGUUUCCAUCCUCCUUCUCCCAGGAUGUCAGAAAAGAGGAUAGCCCAGGGAGAGAAAAAUCUGUGGCCUGAAAAGGUAAGAAAAGAGGGGCCUUUGUCUCCAGGCUUGCAUCGUGCGAAUGAGUCGAGUAGCACAGAGAACAUUGCCCUGAAAAGGCCAGUGAAGUUGGCUCCCCUGGAGAUCCCUGUGGAAGUGAAAGAAGCCCAGCUCCAAAAGAUUAUGAGCAUCCAGAGAGAAGCCCAAAUGGCUGCUCAGAAGCUGACAGCUAUCAACUCCAUCAGCAAUGAACCCCAUGUGAAAAGAGUGAAGAAUCUCUCCCAGGGGGAGCUGGAAAACCUUCAUAAGAUAAGGCUGAAUGAGAAAGCUGCAAUGGAGAAUAAAGAUAAUCCCCUUUCUCCUAAAAGCAGCAGGCCCCUGGGAGAAAUUCAAGUUAUUUUGCCUCCAGAGACAAGCUCAAAGUUGACUAAGCAACCAGGUGUUGGAGAGGCUCCUAAGACACUUCAUAAGCUGUUAAUCCCCACUCUCCAAGUGGACAUGCAUGAAGAGUCUAACAGCCCUGACAGCAUCCCUGAUCCUCACCAGAACACUUCUAGACGCCGAUUCAGGGUAAAGCACGUGAAAGAGCAGCAAGAAGACCACGGGAAAGCCACACCCUUAAAGGUCAUGGAUCCAAGUGUGGGAGAAGGCAAGAAGAAAUCUGCAGGUCAACGAACACAAAAAACCCUGAGCGAUGCAAGCAAGCUCAUUGAGAAUGUAGCCAAAAAGCAGAAGGAGAGAGGAGCACAGCAAGGGGAAACAGAUGAAGCUUCUUUUGUAAGGAAACAGUCUACUCGAAGGAUGGCCUUGGGAGACAUCAUCCAGGUAGAUGAAGACUGAAUAUCAUGAUAUUGGUCAUGCACGGGAGAUUUAGACACAACAGCUACCCAGUAAAGUGCUUUAGACUGACUGCUUAGAAGUCUUCAGAAGAGUAUCUAGAAGCAUUAGUAGACCACAAAGUGAAAAGAUUAGCGUUGUUGAACAUCUUCAUACUUUCUGAGAUGCACAGAAGUGUCAAAUAUCCUCCUACUCUGUUCAGUACUAGAAAUGCCCUGGCUGAAGUCCUGAGCCUCAUGUGGAGUACAACAUUUCAAGACAGAUGUGGACUAUGCAGGGAAAAUCUAGUUGUGUCAUGGGUGGAAGGACCCAGAGAAAAGCAGGAUCCUGGAAAAUCUUGUAUUUGGUGCAAGACUGAAAGAAAUAACUUUAUUUGCUUUUGAGAAUAGAGCCCUGCCCUUUUCAUCUGUGGCUGAAAAGAAAGGAAAGACUUUGAAGAAAGUCUUCAAAGACGUUGAAGAAAGACUGAAAAUGUUCUUCAUAUCCACUUUGAGCAGGACAAAAAGUAAUUUGCUUAAAAUUUAGCAAGAAACGUUUAAGGUAGAAAAGGAGAAAUAAUUUUAAAGACAAUAAACACCAAACAAUGCUGUUUACA